rnacentral:rRNA from 1 species
AGCGAACGUUAGCGGCGCGCCUAACACGUGCAAGUCGCACGGAGUAGCAAUACUCAGUGGCGCACGGGUGCGUAACACGUAGAUAACCUGCCCUGAAGAGGGGGAUAACGUUCCGAAAGGAGCGCUAAUACCGCAUAACGCUGAGACGGGUUCGCCUGUUUCGGACAAAGGCUGGGACCAGCAAUGGCCAGUCGCCUUAGGAGGGGUCUGCGGCCCAUCAGCUAGUUGGUAAGGUAAUGGCUUACCAAGGCAAAGACGGGUAGCUGGUCUGAGAGGAUGAUCAGCCACACUGGUACUGGAACACGGACCAGACUCCUACGGGAGGCAGCAGUGGGGAAUCUUGGUCAAUGGGCGCAAGCCUGAACCAGCGACGCCGCGUGAGUGAUGAAGGCCUUCGGGUUGUAAAGCUCUGUGGGGAGGGACGAAAGACUGAGGUCUAAUAGGCUUCAGGUUGACGGUACCUCCUUAGCAAGCACCGGCUAACUCUGUGCCAGCAGCCGCCGUAA